rnacentral:rRNA from 1 species
UUAUGAGGCCUCGUAAUCGGAAUGAGUACACUUUAAAUAUUUUAACGAGGAACAAUUGGAGGGCAAGUCUGGUGCCAGCAGCCGCGGUAAUUCCAGCUCCAAUAGCAUAUUCUAGAAUUGUUGCGGUUAAAAAGCUCGUAGUUGCAUUUGUGUGCCGCACUGCCGGUCCAUCGUUCACGCGGUGCGACUGGUAGACUUGCGGGGCAUAUCGCCGGUGAGCCCUCCGGUAAAACGGGGGGCUCAACUGAAAAUCCUGUCGCGGUGCUCUUCGCUGAGUGUCGAGAUGGGCCGGCAAUUUUACUUUGAACGAAUUAGAGUGCUCAAAGCGGGCUAUCGUUUGGAUAAAGGUGCAUGGAAUAAUGGAAUAUGAUCAUGGUUUUAUUUUGUUGGUUUUAGAGACCAGGAUAAUGAUUAAUGGAAGCAACUGGGGGCAUUCGUAUUGCGACGUUAGAGGUGAAAUUCUUGGAUCGUCGCAAGACGG